AUACGGAAGGUCCGGGCGUUAUCCGGAUUUAUUGGGUUUAAAGGGAGCGCAGGCGGAGAUGCAAGCGUGACGUCAAAUUUCGGGGCUCAACCCCGUCUCGCGUCGCGAACUGCGUCCCUUGGUUGCGGGAAGGGGAGGCGGAACUCGUGGUGUAGCGGUGAAAUGCAUAGAUAUCACGAAGAACUCCGAUCGCGAAGGCAGCCUUCCGGCCCGUCAACGACGCUCAUGCUCGAAGGUGCGGGUAUCAAACAGGAUUAGAUACCCUGGUAGUCCGCACAGUAAACGAUGGACACCCGCGGUUUGGCCUGUAUGGCUGAGCCGCCAAGCGAAAGCGUUAAGUAUCCCACCUGGGGAGUACGCCGGCAACGGUGAAACUCAAAGGAAUUGACGGGG
rnacentral:rRNA from 1 species